UACGAAGGGGGCUAGCGUUGCUCGGAAUUACUGGGCGUAAAGGGCGCGUAGGCGGAUAGUUUAGUCAGAGGUAAAAGCCCAGGGCUCAACCUUGGAACUGCCUUUGAUACUGGCUAUCUUGAGUUCGGGAGAGGUGAGUGGAAUGCCGAGUGUAGAGGUGAAAUUCGUAGAUAUCCGGAGGAACACCAGUGGCGAAGGCGACUUUCUGGCCUGUUCUUGACGCUGAGGCGCGAAAGCUAGGGGAGCAAACGGG
rnacentral:rRNA from 1 species